rnacentral:rRNA from 1 species
UACGUAGGUGACCAGCGUUGUCCGGAUUUACUGGGCGUAAAGAGCGCGCAGGCGGUCGUUCAAGUCGAGUGUGAAAGCCCCCGGCUCAACUGGGGAGGGUCAUUCGAUACUGAUCGACUCGAAGGCAGGAGAGGGAAGUGGAAUUCCCGGUGUAGUGGUGAAAUGCGUAGAUAUCGGGAGGAACACCAGUGGCGGAGGCGACUUCCUGGCCUGUUCUUGACGCUGAGGCGCGAAAGCUAGGGGAGCAAACGGG